rnacentral:misc_RNA from 1 species
UUUUUUUGUCCAACAUUACCGAAGGUACUUAUCAUCGGGAUUUUGGUUUAAAAUUACGCUUCAUUGCCAUUUCGUGAACGGAUUUAUUAAUAUAUUUGAGGUUCAAUUUCACAAUUUCACUCGGUUUCUGACAUAGUAUUUUCGCAUUUCAGAUUCAUACUUGACAGACGUCGAAGGUGCCUGGUUCUUCCCAAUACGGUUCAACUCUGAAUUACUAUCCCAACGUUGUGCUGAAAAAUUCGUAUAAGGCUCUCAAUUUGUCGUCACAGUGCCUUGAUCAUCGCAGUACCUCUUCAACUUCCAAC